rnacentral:tRNA from 1 species
GGGAGGGUAUGGGCUCCGGUGGGCCUCCUGGACUUCAAACCCAGUGUGGGGCUUGUAGAGAGUCCCGGGUGGGUUCGACUCCCACACCUUCCCGCCA